rnacentral:tRNA from 1 species
GAGGGUAUAGCUCAGUGGUAGAGCACACGCUUAGCAUGCACGGGGUCCUGGGUUCAAUCCCCAGUCCCUCCA